ACGAACGCUGGCGGCAGGCUUAACACAUGCAAGUCGAGCGCGUAGCAAUACGAGCGGCAGACGGGUGAGUAACGCGUUGGAAUCUACCCAUCACUACGGAAUAACUCAGGGAAACUUGUGCUAAUACCGUAUACGCCCUUCGGGGGAAAGAUUUAUCGGUGAUGGAUGAGCCCGCGUUGGAUUAGCUAGUUGGUGGGGUAAAGGCCUACCAAGGCGACGAUCCAUAGCUGGUCUGAGAGGAUGAUCAGCCACAUUGGGACUGAGACACGGCCCAAACUCCUACGGGAGGCAGCAGUGGGGAAUAUUGGACAAUGGGCGCAAGCCUGAUCCAGCCAUGCCGCGUGUGUGAUGAAGGCCUUAGGGUUGUAAAGCACUUUCACCGGAGAAGAUAAUGACGGUAUCCGGAGAAGAAGCCCCGGCUAACUUCGU
rnacentral:rRNA from 1 species